rnacentral:rRNA from 1 species
UACGUAGGGUGCGAGCGUUGUCCGGAAUUAUUGGGCGUAAAGAGCUCGUAGGCGGUCUGUCGCGUCGAAUGUGAAAACCCGGGGCUCAACUCCGGGCUUGCAUUCGAUACGGGCAGGCUAGAGUUCGGUAGGGGAGUCUGGAAUUCCUGGUGUAGCGGUGAAAUGCGCAGAUAUCAGGAGGAACACCGGUGGCGAAGGCGGGACUCUGGGCCGAUACUGGACGCUGAGGAGCGAAAGCGUGGGGAGCGAACAGG